rnacentral:rRNA from 1 species
GCAGGGAAUUUUGCGCAAUGGACGAAAGUCUGACGCAGCGACACCGCGUGGAGGAUUGAAGGUCUUCGGAUCGUAAACUCCUUUUAUCAGGGACGAUUAUGACUGUACCUGAUGAAUAAGCACCGACUAACUACGUGCCAGCAGUCGCGGUAAUACGUGGGGUGCAAGCGUUAUCCGGAUUUAUUGGGCGUAAAGCGCUCGUAGGUUGUAUAACAAGUCUUCUGUGAAAGCUCCGAGCUUAACUCGGAGAGGCCAGAGGAUACUGUUAAACUAGAGGGUGGCAGGGGCUAGUGGAAUUCUAGGUGUAGGAGUGAAAUCCAUUGAUAUCUAGAAGAACACCGAUGGCGAAGGCAACUAGCUAGGUCACAUCUGACACUGAGGAGCGAAAGCGUGGGGAGCGAACGGGAUUAGAUACCCGAGUAGUCC